CACAGGUGGCUGCAUUUCAGUGCCUAGGUGAAGCGAGUCUAUUUCAUCUUUCAGCCGAAGUGAGUACUAAACAUAACAUAGGGCUCUUCUAUUUCCACAGGCUAUUAACCUUCCAAAACAUUCACCUCGGAGGCUAAACUUCGCAGUACUUCAGCUUCAAUUCUGAGAAAUGUCUCUAUUCCACAACAACAUGAUAAGUGAGAGUGAAUUAAGUCCCUUGUGCACCAAAUGGUUUGAGCAAUACCUCUUCAUCCAUCUUUAAAUAACAAGAGAAUGGCAAUAAGAGACGUGAUCUGACUGAACUUCUCUCUAUGAAAGCAUUUUAAAUUAUUG
rnacentral:lncRNA from 1 species